CUUCGCGAUUCUCGUGGACUCGCGCUGGGCGAGUUCGGGGCUUUGCAGAGCGCCGAUCCCAGGCAGGCGGAGGCGCGGGGAGCGGAGUCGAAGCGCGGCGGCGCAUCAGGCCUUGGAAUAAGCAAGCCAAGAAACCUCUUGCUGUGCACCACAGCAACAUUAGUCAUGCUUUUGCAAGUACUUAGGGACCAAUUGCUGAUGGGCGUGUGAGGACCAAGGCCACAAGAUCCCCUUGGAAGGGAUACUCUGCACAAGCAUCCAUGCAUGGAUCCUCAAGUGACAAUAUAAGGGACAUAUCCAGGUGGCCAGAGCUGAGGAUGGCGAUGUUUGAGGAGACAUGCUGCACCUGCAUCCUGUUAGAACCUAUGAAGAGCCCAACUAUGAAUCUGGUCAUCUAGACCAGCCUCUUGAUUCCAGAUGUGGCCAGCCAGAUGCUUCUGGAAAGCCUGCAUGCAAGGCAUGAAGCUAGGGGGUUGCUGCGUACCAUACUGUGAUCAUGCCUCAACCUCUGGCAGUAUUCAAUUGGUUCUGAAUGCAGGAUCUGCACAUUCCCAUCACUGAUGUGUUUCCUAUCGGCUCACAGUGGGCCUGCACUUGUGGAUGUCACAAGUUGUCAAAACCCAGGGCCUUUUUUUUGUAGUAGGGACUCCUUUGCAUGUUAGGCCACA